AAGUGAGAAGCAAAACAUUGCAAUCAGUUUCGGCCUGAUGUUAGAUAAGAAAUUAUCCACACUUU
rnacentral:tRNA from 1 species